rnacentral:rRNA from 1 species
CCUACGGGAGGCAGCAGUGGGGAAUAUUGGACAAUGGGCGAAAGCCUGAUCCAGCCAUGCCGCGUGUGUGAAGAAGGCCUUCGGGUUGCAAAGCACUUUCAGUGGGGAAGAAAGCCUUGGGGCUAAUACCCUCGAGGAAGGACAUCACCCACAGAAGAAGCACCGGCUAACUCCGUGCCAGCAGCCGCGGUAAUACGGAGGGUGCGAGCGUUAAUCGGAAUUACUGGGCGUAAAGCGCGCGUAGGCGGUCUGAUAAGCCGGUUGUGAAAGCCCCGGGCUCAACCUGGGAACGGCAUCCGGAACUGUCAGGCUAGAGUGCAGGAGAGGAAGGUAGAAUUCCCGGUGUAGCGGUGAAAUGCGUAGAGAUCGGGAGGAAUACCAGUGGCGAAGGCGGCCUUCUGGACUGACACUGACGCUGAGGUGCGAAAGCGUGGGUAGCAAACAGGAUUAGAUACCCGAGUAGUC